UACAGAGGUCCCGAGCGUUGUUCGGAUUCAUUGGGCGUAAAGGGUGCGUAGGCGGCGAGGUAAGUCUGAUGUGAAAUCCCGGGGCUCAACCCCGGAACUGCAUUGGAUACUGCCUUGCUUGAGUACUGGAGAGGGAACUGGAAUUUACGGUGUAGCAGUGAAAUGCGUAGAGAUCGGGAGGAACACCAGUAGCGAAGGCGGCACUCUGGGCCGGUACUGACGCUGAGGAGCGAAAGCGUGGGGAGCAAACAGG
rnacentral:rRNA from 1 species